GUUUGAGUGGAGUAUCAUACACUACUUACAAGUUUGCAUUUAAGAGUAGACAUAAACACGUAGAUGCACACACGUGAGAAAACAUGGCACAACAGACUGAUGUGAUAAGAGUCAAACAGAUUUGAGAGCACAAAAGACUAAGAAGAAGAAGUGCAUUAAAGUAAUAUUUAAAGGAAUUUUGAAAAAUUAAUAAAGUGAAGUUCAAGGAACCGGUACUGGGAAGAGUUUUGCUUCGGUAUAUUUUUUUUUUUCCAAAAAGAAACUUUGAACUCAGCCUUCAAAAUUGUUAAGCAUAAAAUGUAUUUAUGGGAUUAACCGUUAAGCCGAUUAGUGCUUUCAAAGAUGUUGAAAGACUUGGUAUGAGUGAGUCCAGCGAUAUCUCUCUACUUUAUCUCAUGCUUGCGCUCUCUAACAACC
rnacentral:lncRNA from 1 species